UUUUUUUUUUUUUAUUUGGAGAACCCCGAGUUAUACGCGAAAUCAAGUACUCGCAACGCAUUGUGUUGCGAGAGUGUUUCCUUUCGCGUUGCGAGUUAGCACAAUUUUUCAUUGCCGUGCAAUUGUUGACAAAUAAAAUAGUGAUCGCGGUGUCGUGAGUAACGAUCGUUGAGUGAUCGCGGGGGUUCCAUUUAUAAAAAUCUCUGCCUUAGCUGAUCUUUAAUCCAGUUCAUUUUCUCACCAUAGAGUUGUCUUCGACCAUCGCUCAUCGCUUAUUCAUUCGUAAUUCAUUUUCCUCCACUUUGUUCCCGUAAUUUAUUCAUCAAAGCGGGCCGCUUUGACGAAACGAAGUGGACAAGGUACGUCAUAUACAUUUCACAGAAGUCUUGUUUGGAAGUUUUGUUUAUUUUCAAAUUCUUUUAAAUUGCAUCAGCCGAUGCCAUCCUACGCGCUGUAAUAUUGUCGAUAGAGAAUCGAGUUUGUGGAAAAGUUCGAGACGCGCAUAGAAGCAACUUUGAAACGCGUUGAAACUCGGGCCAAAUUGGAGUACAAAGUUAAUAAUAAAAAAAGAAAUGAGAGCUAGAGUUAUAUUGCUUCUCAGUAUCGGGCACACACAAAAAAAAAAAAAAAACAAUCGCUCGGCUAUGGAAGUUUUAAUAUCUGCGACGCCACAUCAGCCGAAGAAGAUCAGAAGAGUUUGGAGAGGCUAAAGAGUUUCUCGGAAAAUUUUCUCCUAGUGUUCCAUUUAUAUCUUUCUUUCAGGUGUAAGCUUCGAACUUACCUGCCAAGCAGAUUAGGAAGUGAAGUUGGAUUGUGGAGGAGGAUGUGCAAGGAUCAAUAAAAUCCGAUAUCAAAUAGAGAAAUAGACUCUUUAUUGCUCUUCUCGAUAACUUGCGAGUGUUGCACCUGCUCUUUUACAUUUUUUUUUUUGCAAUAUGAUCGACACUCUUCCCUUCCUCGAUAAUAAAAUCCCACGACAUUCCGAGGUGCGAGGAGCAUCUAUCACCGAAUGGCACUCGGAUUUGUACUCGCGAUAUCCCUCACCGCUUCACAUGUAUCAAGUAUAUAAAACAUUAAUAACAGCUAGUAUCUUUGAUUAUUAUAUACGGAGUAUAGAGUAAACUGAAGACUUUCAAUUCGAAAAGGAAAUCUAUAAUGCAAGGCAGGAGUUCCUUCUUACAAAAUGUGCUUGUAUCUCUUGGUACAAAAA